rnacentral:rRNA from 1 species
AGGACGAACGCUGGCGGCGUGCUUAACACAUGCAAGUCGAGCGAGGCCCGUCCUUCGGGACGGUGCCCUAGCGGCGAACGGGUGAGUAACACGUGAGUAACCUGCCCUGGACUUUGGGAUAACCCUCGGAAACGGGGCUAAUACCGAAUAUGACUUCUGCCCGCAUGGGUGGUGGUGGAAAGUUUUUUCGGUCUGGGAUGGGCUCGCGGCCUAUCAGCUUGUUGGUGGGGUGAUGGCCUACCAAGGCGACGACGGGUA